rnacentral:rRNA from 1 species
ACCUAAGAUCAAGUAAGAGGACCCGCUGGAUUUAAGCAUAUAACUAAGCGGAGGAAAAGAAACUAACAAGGAUUCCCCUAGUAACGGCGAGUGAAGCGGGAGUAGCUCAAAUUGAAAAUCGGUGUUGCCGUGCUUCGGUGGCCGAGUUGUAGAGUAGAGUGUCGUGACCCGUGACGAGGGCCCGGGAUAACUUUUGUUGGAAGACAAGGUCAUAGAGGGUAAUAACCCCGUAUGUGCUUGCCUGGGCUGGUGUGCUUGUCCGAUGGGUGCGGCGUCGAAGAGUCGGGUUGCUUGGGAAUGCAGCUCAAAGUGGGUGGUAAAUUCCAUCUAAAGCUAAAUAUGGGCAAUAGACCGAUAGCGAAAAAGUACCGUGAGGGAAAGAUGAAAAGAACUUUGAAAAGAGAGUGAAAAGUGCUUGAAAUUGCUAAAAGGGAACCCGUUAGCUCCAGUGCGGCGUGCAGUGAUAUUGGUGGCAGUCGUCUGUGACUGUUGUCGCGUCGCUGUGGUGCCGGUCAGCAUGGGUUUGCUGCGCGGGAUAUCGCCGGCGGGGAGGUAGUCUGGUCCACGGUCCGCUGUGGGUGCUGGAUGUUAUAACCCGACUGUGCGUGCUGUGUGGUGGACUGAGGAACGAAGCGCGCUUAUUCCUGAGCCGUGGCUGUGUGUGAGGGGCGCUGCGGAACAGCUUGCUGUACGUGGUGACGUCUGAGCGCAGGGUUGCGUAGGGGAGCGUGUGUAAGAUGCUGACGAAAUGGUGUUAACCGACCCGUCUUGAAACACGGACCAAGGAGUCAAACAGACGCGCAAGGGGGAAGAUAUUGUUGCCAGUACUUCUCUCGUACUGAAAGGGUGCGAUUUAUCGCAUGGUGUGCACACGUUUGGAAUGCCCAACACCGCCCGGCCCCCUGUGGGUUGAGGUUGAGUGUGCCUGUUUGGACCCGAAAGGUGGUGAACUAUGCCUGAACAAGAUGAAGUCCGGGGAAACCCGGAUGGAGGUCUGUAGCGAUGCUGACGUGCAAAUCGCUCGCAUGAUUUGGGUAUCGGAGCGAAAGACUCAUCGAACCACCUAGUAGCUGGUUCACGUCGAAGUUUCCCUCAGGAUAGCUGGUGCUUGAAUUACAUAUUAGUACUGUGCGGUAAAGCAAAUGAUUAGAGGCAUUGGUGUU